rnacentral:rRNA from 1 species
UACGGGGGGGGGCAAGCGUUGUUCGGAAUUACUGGGCGUAAAGGGCUCGUAGGUGGCCAACUAAGUCAGACGUGAAAUCCCUCGGCUUAACCGGGGAACUGCGUCUGAUACUGGAUGGCUUGAGAUUGGGAGAGGGACGCGGAAUUCCAGGUGUAGCGGUGAAAUGCGUAGAUAUCUGGAGGAACACCGGUGGCGAAGGCGGCGUCCUGGACCAACACUGACACUGAGGAGCGAAAGCCAGGGGGAGCAAACGGG